rnacentral:rRNA from 1 species
UAGUGGCGGACGGGUGAGUAACGCGUGAGAAUCUGCCUUCAGGAUGGGGACAACAAUUGGAAACGAUUGCUAAUACCCGAUAUGACGAAAGUUGAAAGAUUUAUCGCCUGGAGAUGAGCUCGCGUCAGAUUAGCUAGAUGGUGUGGUAAAGGCGCACCAUGGCGACGAUCUGUAGCUGGUCUGAGAGGAUGAGCAGCCACACUGGGACUGAGACACGGCCCAGACUCCUACGGGAGGCAGCAGUGGGGAAUUUUCCGCAAUGGGCGCAAGCCUGACGGAGCAAUACCGCGUGAGGGAGGAAGGCUCUUGGGUCGUAAACCUCUUUUCUCAGGGAAGAAUACAAUGACGGUACCUGAGGAAUCAGCAUCGGCUAACUCCGUGCCAGCAGCCGCGGUAAUACGGAGGAUGCAAGCGUUAUCCGGAAUGAUUGGGCGUAAAGCGUCCGUAGGUGGUUAUGUAAGUCUGUGGUUAAAGCGUGGGGCUCAACCCCAUAACGGCCAUGGAAACUACAAGACUUGAGUAAAGUAGGGGUAGAGGGAAUUCCCAGUGUAGCGGUGAAAUGCGUAGAGAUUGGGAAGAACACCGGUGGCGAAAGCGCUCUACUGGACUUAAACUGACACUGAGGGACGAAAGCUAGGGGAGCGAAAGGGAUUAGAUACCCCUGUAGUCCUAGCCGUAAACGAUGGAUACUAGGUGUUGCCCGUAUCGACCCGGGCAGUGCCGUAGCUAACGCGAAUCGAAUU